rnacentral:rRNA from 1 species
AUUGAACGCUGGCGGCAGGCCUAACACAUGCAAGUCGAGCGGCAGCGGGAAAGUAGCUCGCUACUUUUGCCGGCGAGCGGCGGACGGGUGAGUAAUGCCUGGGAAAUUGCCCAGUCGAGGGGGAUAACAGUUGGAACCGACUGCUAAUACCGCAUACGCCCUACGGGGGAAAGCAGGGGACCUUCGGGCCUUGCGCGGUUGGAUAUGCCCAGGUGGGAUUAGCUAGUUGGUGAGGUAAUGGCUCACCAAGGCGACGAUCCCUAGCUGGUCUGAGAGGAUGAGCAGCCACACUGGAACUGAGACACGGUCCAGACUCCUACGGGAGGCAGCAGUGGGGAAUAUUGCACAAUGGGGGAAACCCUGAUGCAGCCAUGCCGCGUGUGUGAAGAAGGCCUUCGGGUUGUAAAGCACUUUCAGUAGGGAGGAAGCGUUGUGUGUUAAUAGUACACAGCGUUGACGUUACCUACAGAAGAAGCACCGGCUAAUUCUGUGCCAGCCGCCGCCGUAACAC